rnacentral:rRNA from 1 species
UACGGAGGGUGCAAGCGUUGUUCGGAAUUAUUGGGCGUAAAGGGCGUGUAGGCGGGUAUGCAGGUCAGGUGUGAAAUCCCUCGGCUCAACCGAGGAAGUGCAUCUGAAACCGCGUAUCUUGAGUACGAGAGAGGCAGAUGGAAUUCCCAGUGUAGAGGUGAAAUUCAUAGAUAUUGGGAAGAACACCGGUGGCGAAAGCGGUCUGCUGGCUCGAUACUGACGCUGAGACGCGAAAGCGUGGGGAGCAAACAGGAUUAGAUACCCUGGUAGUCCACGCCGUAAACGAUGUGCACUAGGUGUUGGGGGUAAUUAAACCCUCAGUGCCGCAGCUAACGCAUUAAGUGCACCGCCUGGGGAUUACGGUCGCAAGACUA